rnacentral:rRNA from 1 species
UACUGCGGAGGGAUCAUUACUGAGUUUACGCUCUACAACCCUUUGUGAACAUACCUAUAACUGUUGCUUCGGCGGGUAGGGUCUCCGUGACCCUCCCGGCCUCCCGCCCCCGGGCGGGUCGGCGCCCGCCGGAGGAUAACCAAACUCUGAUUUAACGACGUUUCUUCUGAGUGGUACAAGCAAAUAAUCAAAACUUUUAACAACGGAUCUCUUGGUUCUGGCAUCGAUGAAGAACGCAGCGAAAUGCGAUAAGUAAUGUGAAUUGCAGAAUUCAGUGAAUCAUCGAAUCUUUGAACGCACAUUGCGCCCGCCAGCAUUCUGGCGGGCAUGCCUGUUCGAGCGUCAUUUCAACCCUCAAGCUCUGCUUGGUGUUGGGGCCCUACAGCUGAUGUAGGCCCUCAAAGGUAGUGGCGGACCCUCCCGGAGCCUCCUUUGCGUAGUAACUUUACGUCUCGCACUGGGAUCCGGAGGGACUCUUGCCGUAAAACCCCCCAAUUUUCCAAAGGUUGACCUCGGAUCAGGUAGGAAUACCCGCUGAACUUAAGCAUAUCAAUA